AGCAGCCGCGGUAAUUCCAGCUCCAAUAGCGUAUAUUAAAGUUGUUGCAGUUAAAAAGCUCGUAGUUGAAUUUCGGGAUCAGUAUGUUGGUCGUGCUUCGGUACGUACUGUCAUUACUGGUUUCUACCUUCUGAAGAACCUUGAUGUCAUUAAUUUGGUGUCUUGGGGAAUCAGGACUGUUACUUUGAAAAAAUUAGAGUGUUUAAAGCAAGCAUACGCUUGAAUACAUUAGCAUGGAAUAAUGAAAUAGGACGUUUGAUUCUAUUUUGUUGGUUUCUAGGAUCGACGUAAUGAUUAAUAGGGAUAGUUGGGGGCAUUAGUAUUCAAUUGUCAGAGGUGAAAUUCUUGGAUUUAUUGAAGACUAACUACUGCGAAAGCAUUUGCCAAGGAUGUUUUCAUUAAUCAAGAACGAAAGUUAGGGGAUCGAAGACGAUCAGAUACCGUCGUAGUCUUAACCAUAAACUAUGCCGACUAGGGAUCGGAUGAUGUUAAUUUUUAAUG
rnacentral:rRNA from 1 species